UACGUAGGGUGCGAGCGUUGUCCGGAAUUACUGGGCGUAAAGAGCUCGUAGGUGGUUUGUCGCGUUGUCCGUGAAAACUCACAACUCAAUUGUGGGCGUGCGGGCGAUACGGGCAGACUGGAGUACUGCAGGGGAGACUGGAAUUCCUGGUGUAGCGGUGGAAUGCGCAGAUAUCAGGAGGAACACCAGUAGCGAAGGCAGGCUCGUGGGC
rnacentral:rRNA from 1 species